AGCAGCCGCCGCGGGAAUACGUAGGUGGCAAGCGUUGUCCGGAAUUAUUGGGCGUAAAGGCUCGCAGGCGGUUUCUUAAGUCUGAUGUGAAAGCCCCCGGCUCAACCGGGGAGGGUCAUUGGAAACUGGGAAACCUGAGUGCAGAAGAGGAGAGUGGAAUUCCACGUGUAGCGGUGAAAUGCGUAGAGAUGUGGAGGAACACCAGUGGCGAAGGCGACUCUCUGGUCUGUAACUGACGCUGAGGAGCGAAAGCGUGGGGAGCGAACAGGAUUAGAUACCCCGGUAGUCCCUGUCUCUUAUACA
rnacentral:rRNA from 1 species